GCUGCAAGAAGGAGGAGUAGAAGAGGCUGCUGGGGAAAGAGCUGUAAGGGGAAAAGCACCAAGUAAAGAAGUUGCUGCGUGAACCCGCCUUGGUGUCUGUGUCGUUCUUAUCUCUGUGGGUCAGAGACAGUGGCAAGUGGUGGCCCGUACAGGGAACUCAUCGUGUUGGUCAGCAACAAUGGCGCUAGGCCAAAAAACGGAGUGCGGGGCCCCCAGCCUCAGGGCCCACAAAUAUAUGGGGCCAUGCAGCAGACUCCCACACCAUGGCCGAACCUU
rnacentral:lncRNA from 1 species